AGAACGAACGCUGGCGGCAGGCUUAACACAUGCAAGUCGAACGCCCCGCAAGGGGAGUGGCAGACGGGUGAGUAACGCGUGGGAAUCUACCCAGUUCUACGGAAUAACACAGGGAAACUUGUGCUAAUACCGUAUACGCCCUACGGGGGAAAGAUUUAUCGGGAUUGGAUGAGCCCGCGUUGGAUUAGCUAGUUGGUGGGGUAAUGGCCUACCAAGGCGACGAUCCAUAGCUGGUCUGAGAGGAUGAUCAGCCACACUGGGACUGAGACACGGCCCAGACUCCUACGGGAGGCAGCAGUGGGGAAUAUUGGACAAUGGGCGCAAGCCUGAUCCAGCCAUGCCGCGUGAGUGAUGAAGGCCUUAGGGUUGUAAAGCUCUUUCAGUGGGAAGAUAAUGACGGUACCACAGAAGAAGCCCGGCUAACUUCGCGCCAGCAGCCGC
rnacentral:rRNA from 1 species